rnacentral:rRNA from 1 species
UACGGGAGGCAGCAGUGGGGGAUAUUGCGCAAUGGGCGAAAGCCUGACCCAGCAACGCCGCGUGAAGGAAGAAGGUCUUCGGAUUGUAAACUUCUUUUAUGAGGGACGAAGGACGUGACGGUACCUCAUGAAUAAGCCACGGCUAACUACGUGCCAGCAGCCGCGGUAAU